rnacentral:rRNA from 1 species
CAUGGAGGGUGAGAAUCCCGUCUGUGAUCCGAUCGGUUUCAGUACGAUAACGUUUCUAAGAGUCGAGUUGUUUGGGACUGCAGCUCAAAUUGGGUGGUAAAUUCCAUCUAAGGCUAAAUAUAGGCGAGAGACCGAUAGCGAACAAGUACCGUGAGGGAAAGAUGAAGAGAACUUUGAAAAGAGAGUUAAACAGUACGUGAAAUUGUUGAAAGGGAAACGAUUGAAGCCAGUCUUACCGACGGAAAAUCAAUUUCUCGGGUGCUUAUCAUGGGUGACGUUGAGCCUCACGGUCUUCGUUGCUUGUGUUAUUGGUACCUUUGUUGUGCACUUUUUCGUAUGGUAGGUCAACAUCGAUUUCGAUCGUCAUAAAAUGAUUGGAGGAAUGUAGCUUUGAUUUCGAUCGAAGUGUUAUAGCCUUUGGUAAAUGUGACAAUUGGGAUCGAGGAUUGCAACGAGUACCCUUUGGGCUAUCCGUCUGGCCUCUGAAAGUCGCUUGAGUGUCGAAAGCGUGCUUAUGGCAUACAAGUUGACGGUCAAUACGUUAGAACGCGAUUACAUUCGUUAAGGAUGUUGACGUAAUGG